rnacentral:rRNA from 1 species
GUUGAGGAAGAUAAUGACGGUACUCAACAAGGAAGUGACGGCUAACUACGUGCCAGCAGCCGCGGUAAAACGUAGGUCACAAGCGUUGUCCGGAAUUACUGGGUGUAAAGGGAGCGCAGGCGGGAGAACAAGUUGGAAGUGAAAUCCAUGGGCUCAACCCAUGAACUGCUUUCAAAACUGUUUUUCUUGAGUAGUGCAGAGGUAGGCGGAAUUCCCGGUGUAGCGGUGGAAUGCGUAGAUAUCGGGAGGAACACCAGUGGCGAAGGCGGCCUACUGGGCACCAACUGACGCUGAGGCUCGAAAGUGUGGGUAGCAAACAGGAUUAGAUACCCUGGUAGUCCACACCGUAAACGAUGAUUACUAGGUGUUGGAGGAUUGACCCCUUCAGUGCCGCAGUUAACACAAUAAGUAAUCCACCUGGGGAGUACGACCGCAAGGUUGAAACUCAAAGGAAUUGACGGGGGCCCGCACAAGCAGUGGAGUAUGUGGUUUAAUUCGACGCAACGCGAAGAACCUUACCAAGUCUUGACAUCCCUUGACGAUGCUGGAAACAGUAUUUCUCUUCGGAGCAAGGAGACAGGUGGUGCAUGGUUGUCGUCAGCUCGUGUCGUGAGAUGUUGGGUUAAGUCCCGCAACGAGCGCAACCCUUAUGGUCAGUUACUACGCAAGAGGACUCUGGCCAGACUGCCGUUGACAAA